UACGUAGGGUGCAAGCGUUAAUCGGAAUUACUGGGCGUAAAGCGUGCGCAGGCGGUUAUGUAAGACAGGGGUGAAAUCCCCGGGCUUAACCUGGGAACUGCAUUUGUGACUGCAUAGCUAGAGUACGGUAGAGGGGGAUGGAAUUCCGCGUGUAGCAGUGAAAUGCGUAGAUAUGCGGAGGAACACCGAUGGCGAAGGCAAUCCCCUGGACCUGUACUGACGCUCAUGCACGAAAUCGUGGGGAGCAAACAGG
rnacentral:rRNA from 1 species